GAGGACCCAGCCGUCUGCCCCGAGCUGGGCGCUGCGCGGCUGCUCCGGGGGAAGCUUGGUGAGGAGGAGUCGGGCCAGCCGGUGAUGCCUGCGCCUCUUGCGCAUGCUGACCCCCUCAAGGAGCGGGGCCAGAGAAUCGCUCCUUUCUGGCAGGGACUGUGGCCGCUUUCGGCCUGGGAAUGAAGCGACGUAGCCUGCUGGGGCUGUGAGGGACUGAUUCUGGCACAGUGACCGCAGAACCUGGGGGGCGGAGCACAUGCCCCCGGAAGGCUGUGAAAUCCCGCCAGUGGCAGUGACAGAGGCGAAUAUGAGGGUCCUCAGAGGAAAAACAAAGAAGAUAGGAGCAGCAGAAAAUGGCCCCCACGAGGAUCUGAGCCAACCUCGCCACCCCUAGGGCUCCCGGCCCUGCUUCC
rnacentral:lncRNA from 1 species